rnacentral:rRNA from 1 species
AUGAUGCCACCCGCGGCCGUCGCCCUCGCGCUCCUCGUGGUCUCGACGCUGCAGCCCCGGGCGGCGGUGCAGGCGCAGGUGUCGGCCGCUCCGGCGGCGGCUCCGGCGCCCAGCUGGGGGGAGCUGGACUGCACGGGCGCGCAGCUCAACCUGUCCUCCUGCCUGACGUACGUGGAGUCCGGGAGCGCGCUGACGCGGCCGGAGAAGGGCUGCUGCAGGGCGCUCUCCGGCGUCGUCGACAGCGAGGCCGCCUGCCUUUGCGGGCUCGUGGGCGGGUACGGGUCCUUCGGGGUCCGCAUCGACGCCGUGCGUGCCCUCGCGCUGCCCACCAUCUGCCGCGUGGAAGCGCCACCGCCCAGGCUCUGCGCCAUGCUGGGCUUGCCCGGCGCGGAGCCGCCGGGCGGCGCCGUGCCCCCGGCGUCAGGGUACGGCACGCCGGCGACGACGCCAGCAACGUCAGCCGCGAGCGGCGGCCCCGCGACGCACCGGAGCCGAGGGCGUCAUCUCCUCCUCGUGCUCCUCCCGUACUGCGCCGCGCUCUUCACGCUGCUGCCGUAA